UACGUAGGGGGCAAGCGUUGUCCGGAUUUAUUGGGCGUAAAGCGCUCGCAGGUGGUGCGUCGCGUCGUGCGUGAAAGGCCCCGGCUCAACCUGGAGAUGCCACUCGAGACUGCUAUGGCUAGAGUCCGGUAGGGGACCACGGAAUUCCUGGUGUAGCGGUGAAAUGCGCAGAUAUCAGGAGGAACACCGGUGGCGAAGGCGGUGGUCUGGGCCGGCACUGACGCUGAGGAGCGAAAGCGUGGGGAGCAAACAGG
rnacentral:rRNA from 1 species